GGGCAAUGCAGUCAUUGUAGAUGGACUCAACCAUUGCGGAGACCUCAUCCUCUCUAAUUGCCCUCAGCGAUUCGAGGCUCUUGGCUGAGAAGAGCACGACGGUGCAGACCUUCCGCACCUUGACGUAGUGAGGGCCGUAGUCGGCCCAAAUCAGGUCCUGGCCAUACUUGGUGAGCUUGAUGGCGGUGCGGCUGCGGUAGCGGUAGCGGUCCUGGCCAUACUUGGUGAACAAAUGUCUGAAUCAAAAUUCGUUGAAAUCCGUAAGAUGAAAGCUAGGUUACAAACAGAAAAUCUGUGAAUACCUCCCAUCGUAAGAUAGGAAAAAUGAGAAGAAUUUUACCUCCCUCUUCCCUGAGAUCCAUGGCUUAAUUCGUCGAAGAGAAGAAGAUAGUGAAAUCUAAAAAGUCACAGAGCAAUAUGAGCAAUAGCGAUUGAGGAAUUCGUUGAAAUCUCAAUCUUAUCGGCAUCAAUAAG
rnacentral:lncRNA from 1 species